AACGAACGCUGGCGGCAGGCCUAACACAUGCAAGUCGAGCGAGGACUUCGGUCCUAGCGGCGGACGGGUGAGUAACGCGUGGGAACGUGCCCUUUGCUUCGGAAUAGCCCUGGGAAACUGGGAGUAAUACCGGAUGAGCCCUUUGGGGGAAAGAUUUAUCGGCGAAGGAUCGGCCCGCGUUGGAUUAGGUAGUUGGUGGGGUAAUGGCCUACCAAGCCGACGAUCCAUAGCUGGUUUGAGAGGAUGAUCAGCCACACUGGGACUGAGACACGGCCCAGACUCCUACGGGAGGCAGCAGUGGGGAAUCUUAGACAAUGGGGGAAACCCUGAUCUAGCCAUGCCGCGUGAGCGAUGAAGGCCUUAGGGUUGUAAAGCUCUUUCAGCUGGGAAGAUAAUGACGGUACCAGCAGAAGAAGCCCUGGCUAACUCCGUG
rnacentral:rRNA from 1 species